rnacentral:lncRNA from 1 species
CCAUGGACGUCUCCCAUUGUCCUGCCUCCUGCCCCAGCAUAAAAUUCCUCUACUUGUUUGAAGCUCUUCAGGAACUAAAACUUUAGGUCAGCAAACUAAGAUUACUUAGUGCUAAUCUGAAACAUUUUGUUUACAAUAAGAAAAAAACUGAGACGGUGAAGAGGUGAUCCUUAAAAAAAUAGAAUGAAAGUCCUCUUUGGUUCUUCUAAAGCAAUCACAUUCUGGAAAGGCAGAAUUGGUUACUUUUAUUAAAAUUUCUAAGUUCCACUGAGGUAAUUACUUUUUGUGUUAGGUAAAUCUCUAGAUAUAAAGUUUUCUUUGGCCUGUUGCUAACAAAAACUCUUUUAAAAUGUCUGAAAUCCAUUCUGAACUUCAUAAUAGAUUUUUGAUGCACUUUAUGUAAUUUAUUUUUAAAAUUAGAGUUGAUUUACAAUGUUCCUUCAAUUUCUGCUGUAUGCCAAAGUGACACAGUCAUACAGAUAUAUACACAUUCUUUUUUUCAUACCCUCUUCCAUCAUAUUCUAACCCAAGAGACUGGACACAGACUUUAUGUAAUUUAACUUCAACAAUUAAAAACUAAAAUUCUGAAUAUCUCUUAGAAUACAGGGCAGUGCCCACCAACAAGAAAAAAAUGCUCUCUAGGAUAUUUAGAAAUUUAUUUUGUUUCUCCCUUUCCAUACCCCUCCUUUUUUAAAAAAAAUCUUUAUUUACAGUUACUUGCAGAAGGGGAAGGCCCAAGUGACUUGCUUAUACCAUAUCAGCCCAUUCCCUGAUCACGGUUGAGUGGAUCAAAGGAAUAUCUGAUUCAGCCUGCCCAACUGAACACUUUCUCCCCCUCCAGAUUCCUUUGGAUUUAGGGUGUUAAAAGUGUGGAUCAGUUAGCUGUUGGCACUAGACUCAUAGGGUCAUACAGACUGGGAAGGUUGAGGCUGCUAUUUUUGAGAAGUCUUGUUGGGCAACAUAGAAGCUCCAGAAGCUGGGAUUUCGUGUCAUGGCUCAGCAGUAGUGAACCCGACUAGUAUACAUGAGGACACAGGUUCAAUCCCUGGGCUCACUCAAUGCAUUAAGGACCUGGUGUUGCCAUGAGCUGCUGUGUUAGGUCUCAGAUGUGGCUUGGAUCUGGGGGUGCUCGAGAGAGGAGGAGGCACCAAGCAGUUCUGGUUCUUGCCUUCCAUUCUUCUGUCCCUUCCAUCCUCCUUACUCCUGUUCUUAUCUAAGAGUGCCUUUCGUGUUUUACUCCUCUUUGGAGCUAGUGCGGGGUUUUUGUCCUUAGAACUAAAAGAUCCUUGACCAAAACAUACAACCCUUUCUGUAAUGCUAAAGAGUUUAGUUCAACUUCAGAAAAUGUUCAGUUUGGAACACAUGAGCCCACAGAUUCAGCUGGAAUCACAAAAGUCUAGAAGAGUCCACUUAUUCAUGGUUUUUGCUCUUUACAAAAUGAAAUAAUUUAUGAAUGUCUUUCCUUUCAAAUAAAGUAAAGGUAACCUCCCCAAAGUACAAAAAUAAAUUCUAGAGGAGGAAAUAUUAAUUUUUUGGUAUAGGUAUGAAAAUUCUCAAGUUCUGCCAAUUUUUAAAAAUGUUGCUUCCCUCUAGUUUUUUUUCCCAACAUAUCAUUUCAUUAUAUAAAGCACUAGCUCUCAAAUUUUCAAGAUUCAUAACAUCCUAUUACCAAAUACCUGUAUGUAUAAGCUUUAGACAUAGACAUACACACCUUUAGACAUCUGUGCUAAGUCUCCAACUCUACUCCAGAGCUUAAAAAUUUUUUGACAUAAUUUCAACUUUAGAGAAAAGCUGUUAAGAGAAAUAAUAAUUUUCUUUCCUGAACCAUUUAAGGAUGCAAACCAUGUAAGUGGGCUACCUGAUGCCCUUUCACCCCCACUUACUUUAAUGCAUGGUUACUACAAAUGAGGACAUCCCCUAUGUAUACACUAUUCAACCAAUAAAUCGGGAAAUUGAACACUGAUCCAUUUCUACCAUCUAGUCUACAGACUCCAUCCAAAUUGCAUCAAUUAUCCCAAGGUGCCCUCACAACAAAAGGAUCCAAUCCAGGAUCAGGUGCUGUGAUGGUCUCCUUCAACUGGGAGGAAUGCCUUCAUCUUUCCUUGAAUGUCACAACCUUGAUACUUUUUAAGAUUUCAGGCCAGAUAUUUGGAUAUCCAAACAAUCCUGAACUUGGAUUUGUCAGAGAGUCCCUCCUGAUUGUAUUUUUGGCAGGAAUAGCAUCAAAUAGCAUCUUUUCAUUGCAUCCUUUCAGAAGGUACAUGACUUCCAUCUGUCUCAUCACUAGACGUAUUCACUUUGUUCACAUGAGUAAGUCUGUGUCUGCCAGGCUCCUCGCCUAGAAAGUUUCUCCUUUUCUUUUGCAAUUUUAAAGUAUUUUAGAGAGAGGUAUUUUUAGACUGUAUAAAUAUCUUUCUAAUCAAAACUUAACCCACUAUUUAGUAUCCAUUGAAGUUUUUGGAUGAAUUGAUGAUUACUAUGAUGGUUGCCAAAGGAUAAUUUUUAAAAUUUCAUUAUUCCUUCUACAUUCAUUCGUUGGCAUUCUCGUGUAAAGAAAAGUUUUUGCAUUUUUCCAUUCAUUUAUUUAUGUGUGUAAGUAUGCAAGUGUGAAUUAAUGGAUUUCUCCUUUGUUCAAUGGAUGCCGUUGUUACCAUCAUUAUCAUUUUGAUUUGCAAGUUGUCCCAGAUUUGGUCAGUGAGAAUUGCUUUGGUUUGUCUUGUGUGUCCUUUCAACAUUGUCUCCAUCAUUCUUUGAGCAUUUCCUUACUUUUUGGCACAUUAAGUUCCAGGCUCAUAUUGAACAGCCUUAAAAAUAAGCCUUUCUCCAAGAAUCCUUGCUUCUUAUUAGUUAAAAAUUAUAUUUAAGAACUAAGAGCCAGGUUCUUUUUUUUUUUCUUUUUCUUUUUAAUGGCCUCACCCACAGCAUUCGGCAGUUCCAGGGCCAGGGAUCAAACCCAUGCCAUAGCUGUGACAACACUGGAUCCUUAACCUUCUGAGCCACCAGGGAAACUCCUAAAAACUAAGAGUUAGGUUCUUGAUGUGCUUGCUCUUAGGGCAUCAGGCUUGCAAGUCCUUUUAGGGGAAAUAGCUAGAUAACCUGUACACAGGUGUACACACACACCUACACACACCCCCCUGCACCCUACAUACAUGUAACAUUAUGCUUAUUUUUAUAUUGCUCUCUAUGUAUUGAAAACCAUGAGCUCACACUGAUACCUCCAGUUUCAAUCCAACAUCAUUGGGCUUGGUUUUUCCCCUUUCCUUACAAUGUUUUUUCUCUUUGUAAUUCUCAUCUCCAGUGGUAAGAAACCUGGUUCCCAUUGCCCUCAUUAUAUUUCCUGAUGAUAUUAAGCCCUCUUUAUGUAACUAAUCAUUGUCUCCCCUUGACCCCUAUGCAGAUGCCCUUCUUAUCUAGCUCAGGCUCUGACUGGGGUCACCACCAUUCCCCUACACAAAUGCUCUCUCUGUUCCUUCCUCGGGACUCAGUAUCCCAAGAUGAGCCACACGGCCACCACCCUCCCAGCAGGGACACCCUCCUUACCCCCCUUCAGGCCCAAACCUUAUGCUGAGCUGCACCCCUCCCUCCAACUCCUGUGCUUAAUCAGUCCCCCCCCCGCCCCCAUGGCUUUUGUUUUGAAUUAUUCUGGAGGAAAGAGAGGAAUGAAGGGUAGGUCACAGUUUUUAAGUUUCAGUGUACCUGCCUCACUUGAUGAUACAAAAAAGGGUUAUUAAUAAAUAAAUCACAACUUCUCUUUGACCUACAUUGCUCAUUGGGGAUUUAGUCUAAAAUUGGGCAUGUGGGUAAUAAGAGAUUUAAAGCCAUAAAAUAUUCUGUCAUAAGAACGAUGUCUAAAUAAAUCACAAGAAGUACAUUCUGUACUUUUGCAUUGCAGUGUUAACUAUUCUAUUAGAAACGAAGAUCCCCAGAGAGAAAUCUGUAUAUACUGAGAACUGAGAACUGCCCUUUAAAUUCAGCCUCUCUUUUAUUUCCUAUUGCAAAUAAGAACUGCUUUUUCAGACAUUAGUUGACUUGCCUAAAGGGGUUUAUCUCCUGGGAGGUCAUAUUAUUUAUUGAUUGAUCAUACACCAGUGACUGCUAAUGUAUUUCAUUAAUAACAUCUGCAGGCUCACUUGUCUUUUUAUUUUCUGAGGUGGCUGGUGGUUUUCUGGAAAAGCUGAGCCCACUUAUCAAGAAAACAAAAGAUUUUCUAAAAGCUGCAUUCAUAACUAGUAUUAGCAAACUAAACCUUACUUUUAGUGCAAUUAAACAGCUUGGUAUUGAAAGUUAAGACCCAAUUGACUCUAGCAAAGGGCUAAUCUUUUUGGGGGGGUAUGGGUGGGGCACUGAGCCACCAGGGAACUCUGAGAGUGCCUGUUUUCAUAUUUGAUGUCCCUGCAGAUUUUAAAUGACCUUCUCAUGGUCACAUGACUGUAUGGAAAAUCAUGUCUCAUUCACUCACUCAUUUGAGAGUAUUCAUUGAGCACUUUCAAUGUGCCAAUCCCAUGCUUGGUUCUAGGGACAGAGUGAUAGGCCAGAGACUCUGCCAUCAUGAAGCUCAUAGCUUAGCAAGGAAGUCAGUCAUACUAAACACAUGAUUCCAGUCACCAGUGGCAACUGGUUGGCUAAAGACAGGAUAGAGUGUUGGGGAGGUCCUCAGCCAGGCAGACAGCAGUCAGCUGGGUGCAGGGGGAGGGGCGGCUUCCAUACAGGGAAAGCAUCAUGUUUGUAACUGGUCACAAAAUUCAAUGACACUAUACUUAGAUACCCAGAGAAACUGUCAUUUCUUUAUUUUGCCUCUAACUCUCAUGGCCACUCCGUACACCCCU